rnacentral:rRNA from 1 species
GACGAACGCUGGCGGCGUGCCUAAUACAUGCAAGUUGAGCGCUGAAGGUUGGUACUUGUACCAACUGGAUGAGCAGCGAACGGGUGAGUAACGCGUGGGGAAUCUGCCUUUGAGCGGGGGACAACAUUUGGAAACGAAUGCUAAUACCGCAUAAAAACUUUAAACACAAGGUUUAAGUUUGAAAGAUGCAAUUGCAUCACUCAAAGAUGAUUCCGCGUUGUAUUAGCUAGUUGGUGAGGUAAAGGCUCACCAAGGCGAUGAUACAUAGCCGAACUGAGAGGGUGAUCGGCCACAUUGGGAGUGAGACACGGCCCAAACUCCUACAGGAGGCAGCAGUAGGGAAUCUUCGGCAAUGGACGAAAGUCUGACCAAGCAACGCCGCGUGAGUGAAGAAGGUUUUCGGGUCGUAAAACUCUGUUGGUAGAGAAGAACGUUGGUGAGAGUGGAAAGCUCAUCAAGUGACGGUAACUACCCAGAAAGGGACGGCUAACUACGUG